rnacentral:lncRNA from 1 species
GGUCCGAAAGUAUGCUUAAAUUGAAGAGAAAGAGAGCAUACUCCAUCAAGUAAACAAAGAAAAGGAUGAAAAAAAGAGACCCCAAGAAGAAGAUCAUAGAAAUCAACAAGAUAAUUCUGAACCACCUUGAAAGAAUCCAAGGUCUAAAAGCCCACCUCGAUGAUUUGAUACCUAUACCUUAUUAUCUACUCAUCAAGCUCAGAUAGUAAUAAAAAUUAAGGAUUAAAGAUAU